rnacentral:rRNA from 1 species
UACGUAGGCAGCGAGCGUUGUUCGGAGUUACUGGGCGUAAAGCGUGCGUAGGCGGUGGUCCAAGUCUGGUGUGAAAUCUCCCGGCUUAACUGGGAGGGUGCGCCGGAAACUGGGCCGCUGGAGUACGGGAGAGGCAAGCGGAAUUCCGGGUGUAGCGGUGGAAUGCGUAGAGAUCCGGAAGAACACCGGUGGCGAAGGCGGCCUGCUGGGCAGUUGCUGACACUGAGGCGCGACAGCGUGGGGAGCAAACAGG